rnacentral:rRNA from 1 species
AACGAACGCUGGCGGCAUGCCUAACACAUGCAAGUCGAACGAGACCUUCGGGUCUAGUGGCGCACGGGUGCGUAACGCGUGGGAACCUGCCCUUAGGUUCGGAAUAACUCCCCGAAAGGGGUGCUAAUACCGGAUAAUGUCUUCGGACCAAAGAUUGAUCGCCUUUGGAUGGGCCCGCGUUGGAUUAGCUAGUUGGUAGGGUAAAAGCCUACCAAGGCGACGAUCCAUAGCUGGUCUGAGAGGAUGAUCAGCCACACUGGGACUGAGACACGGCCCAGACUCCUACGGGAGGCAGCAGUGGGGAAUAUUGGACAAUGGGCGAAAGCCUGAUCCAGCAAUGCCGCGUGAGUGAUGAAGGCCUUAGGGUUGUAAAGCUCUUUUACCCGGGAUGAUAAUGACAGUACCGGGAGAAUAAGCACCGGCUAACUCCGUG